CCGCCCCUGCGCCCGCCCCUCCACCGAGCCAGGCCGCGGCGCCGCCCCUCCACGCUCGGCUCGGCGCUCGCCCCUCCACGCUCGGCUCGGCGCACGCAGUCACACACUAGCAGACAGCGGCAGUGGAAAGAGAGGAGUGAGAAGCAGAAGAAGAACAAGAACAGGAGAGAAGACCCGGAUGAGAGAGAGAUAGGAAAGACGAGAGGGAAAGGUAAUAUGACCUCCUUCAAGUUGAUCCAUAAAGUACAUAUUUAAAAGGAAGGGAUAUUGUACAGCAGAAUAGCUUCUGAAAUCUGAACUACUAUAGAAGUGUACAGUUUUGACAGAGCGCUUGCUUCUAGCCAAUGCACUAGUGUACGUAUCACUGAAUAUACAAUACUCAUCAUUUAUGUAAUAACCAGCUUUGGAAAGAAUGUACAUACCUGAGAAAGAAUCGAUGACUUUUCUAGUUUCAACAAAUUAACAUUAUUCUGAACGACCUGCCUGAUACAUAAAUUAACAUUAGUCUGAUAAUCAGCUGAAUAUUUCUAACCAAAGGUGGGCAUAUCCUACCUACUUUGUAAAAAGAAUGGACCAAGUCUAUUCUCAUGUCGACUCUGAGGAGUCAUUAUCAAUGUUGCUAGUGCGCACAAUUAUAAAUAAUCAGAGGCAAGUACCAAGAAAAAGAGACAUAAGCUAAUGCAGGUAUGAAUGCCACUAACUUGUUUUGGGUGCCAGCGGCAUGGUUCCAGAAGACUUGAAGCUCUGAUUAAGCCAUUCAAAUGGACACGCACUUUCGUGUACUUUUCUACGACAUUACUUUACCCACUUAAUUAAGCAGGACCUGCUUAAUGGGGGAGAACUUAGUUUUAAAUGUGAGCCAUUAAUUUUUUUGAUCGGAUGGUGCAAAUAAUAUUAACAUAUGUGGACGAAUAUGAUGGCUUGUUUUACUUCUGUCUUAAGUAUCUGAUUUAUUUUCAGCUUUUGGUUAAAAAUUGGUAGCGGAAGGCAUUUUGACCCAUUUGUCACUGUUAUUUGUUACGGCACAGCGUUGGGAGUUCCUUUUUGUACUUGUUUGUUGUGAAACAUCAUAAUGUAUCUAGUUACACGUCUGUCAUGAAUUCAACUUCAGGAAUUUGGACGGUGGCGAAAGCCCAGAAAUCUUGGUGAUUGAAUAAACAUGGAACUAUAAUGUUUGUGAAAUGGAGAGGUUACAUGAUGAGGGGCAUGCCUGUAUUUCACUCAGUAGUGAGAUGAUGUAUAGGUGCUUGUUAGGGACUUUAUUUGUUCCUUAUUAUGUUUUAGUCCAAAAACAUCAACACUCAUUGGGUGUUAUAAUCUCCUGGGGGCCUUUUACUUGUUUCAGUUGUAUGAUUUGUUAAAGUGGCUAUGCUGGAUUGCCCUGAAGGUGUUAUGGAUAGCACAUUCAGGUAAUAAAUAUGACAAAUGAAGACGCAUUUUCACUUAUUUGGUAAUCUAGACGCGUCAAAAGUGACUUCUUUCAAAUGUGCUUGGAUGAUUCGUGACACACAAUUAAUCUAUCACAGGACUCAAAAAUAGUUAGCUAUCUUUACUUCCUUAUAAGCAUUGCCCUGGAUUUUCUCUUUAAAUUGUUUAAAUUUUGUUAUUGUCAUUUAGGCAAUAAGACAUACUGAGCUCAAAUAUAUUUUCUUAAUUCCUUGCCAUAUCUUAGAGCUAUAAAACACCCUUUAUCUCAAUCUUUGAAGACAUACCGGUUGGAUGGACAAUGAAUUUUAUACUUCAUUAGUAUAGAAGACUCCCUGAGUAAUAGAUUGCAGCCAUCCAUACUAUCGCCACACUGUAUACAAUGUGGAUAGUUAGCUUGAUAAACAUGGAUUUAGCAUGCAUAUAUUAUUGGCAGUUUUUUAAGGCUAUGCUAAAAUGUGAUAGUUAUAUUUUGUCCCGACACCACUGUAUAUGUUGUUGUACAAUGCGGGAGGAUCACGUAGAGUCGCUGUUUCAGUUUUCGCUUGGCUAUUUUGGCUAUAUUAUUACUAACCUCAUCAGUGUCAUACGCCGUUUGUUUAUCCAAGGGCAUGCCAAAAUUUCCCUUUAAUUACGUCAUUUUUAGUGCCUACAGAUGACUGAUGUUUCAUUUUGAUAAAAGUCCCACUACGGUCAGAAUGAGAUGAAUUACAUGUCUGCAAAACUAAUCAAAUAUGAAUGUGAUGAAUUUCCUCUUUGCAGAAUCUACAUACUAUGUAUUACAUGCAAAAAAUGUUUAUACAAGACAUUUUCCCCUCAUGGUUAUAUGUGUGUUGCACGUACAUGCCCACGUCCUCGACGGCAAAAUCCAGCUACCGGUGGGGAUAUAGAGGAUGCCAAGAUGGACAACGCAUUGGUAUCGAGUUUGCCGUGCUCGCGAGGACAGACCACGACCUGGUGACCUUUGCCAUUGAGGGCACCGUCUACCUUUGGAGCCCCGUUGAUCUCAUGACCCUCGCCACCGCCACAGCCAACGCCACAGAGUGUGAGAUUGCUAAAUGGCAACUGCUCUUACUGGAGCGAUGUUACCCUUCCAGGAGAUAAGAGUGAUACUAUUCUUUGGUCAGGUUAUGUUUGUUACGGAUUGUUGUAUUGAGGAAAGCAAUUAUGGAACUUAGUGUGUUUUAUGGUUUUUUUUCUGAAUUUACAGCCGCUAAGUUCCUGAAGCUUGAUCGACAUCUUUUGUCAGUUGCUAACUAUUCCAACAUCUCUCAAAAUGGGAAAAGCAAGAGGGAAAUGUAGCACCCCCUAGGACAUCAACUGUACUGCCAGUGUACAUGCUUUCACAUGAAAAUGCUGAUUUGCUUAAGAUCACGGAAGCUUGGGUUGAUGGAGUGC